rnacentral:rRNA from 1 species
AUUGAACGCUGGCGGCAUGCCUUACACAUGCAAGUCGAACGGCAGCACUGGAGCAAUCCUGGUGGCGAGUGGCGAACGGGUGAGUAAUAUAUCGGAACGUGCCCAGUGGGGGAUAACGCAGCGAAAGCUGUGCUAAUACCGCAUACGAUCUAUGGAUGAAAGCGGGGGAUCGCAAGACCUCGCGCGAUUGGAGCGGCCGAUUUCAGAUUAGCUAGUUGGUGAGGUAAAGGCUCACCAAGGCGACGAUCUGUAGCUGGUCUGAGAGGACGACCAGCCACACUGGAACUGAGACACGGUCCAGACUCCUACGGGAGGCAGCAGUGGGGAAUUUUGGACAAUGGGCGAAAGCCUGAUCCAGCAAUGCCGCGUGCAGGAUGAAGGCCUUCGGGUUGUAAACUGCUUUUGUACGGAACGAAACGGUGAGCUCUAAUACAGUUUGCUAAUGACGGUACCGUAAGAAUAAGCACCGGCUAACUACGUGCCAGCCGCCGCAGUAA